AUUGAACGCUGGCGGCAUGCCUUACACAUGCAAGUCGAACGGCAGCACGGGUGCUUGCCCCUGGUGGCGAGUGGCGAACGGGUGAGUAAUACAUCGGAACAUGUCCUGUAGUGGGGGAUAGCCCGGCGAAAGCCGGAUUAAUACCGCAUACGAUCUACGGAUGAAAGCGGGGGACCUUCGGGCCUCGCGCUAUAGGGUUGGCCGAUGGCUGAUUAGCUAGUUGGUGGGGUAAAGGCCUACCAAGGCGACGAUCAGUAGCUGGUCUGAGAGGACGACCAGCCACACUGGGACUGAGACACGGCCCAGACUCCUACGGGAGGCAGCAGUGGGGAAUUUUGGACAAUGGGCGAAAGCCUGAUCCAGCAAUGCCGCGUGUGUGAAGAAGGCCUUCGGGUUGUAAAGCACUUUUGUCCGGAAAGAAAUCCUUGGCCCUAAUACGGUCGGGGGAUGGCGGUACCGGAAGAAUAAGCACCGGCUAACUACGUG
rnacentral:rRNA from 1 species